rnacentral:rRNA from 1 species
UACGUAGGGUGCGAGCGUUAAUCGGAUUUACUGGGCGUAAAGCGUGCGCAGGCGGCCCGUUAAGACAGGUGUGAAAUCCCUGGGCUCAACCUAGGAAUUGCGCUUGUGACUGGCGGGCUCGAGUACGGUAGAGGGGGGUGGAAUUCCUGGUGUAGCAGUGAAAUGCGUAGAGAUCAGGAGGAACACCGAUGGCGAAGCCAGCCCCCUGGGCCUGUACUGACGCUCAUGCACGAAAGCGUGGGGAGCAAACAGG